rnacentral:lncRNA from 1 species
UAUCUACGUCAAGACCUGGGCUUUGCUCCACUUGGAGUCAGCUGAUUGACAGGAGGGCAUCUGAAAUUGAGAGGAGAUUUCAGGACGUUUACCCAGCCCUUUAGUGGGGAUCUGUCCGGGACUGUGCAGUCUGAACCUGCAACUGUAAAAGUCUCAGGAUGUAACCUUGAAGCAAACUGCAGAAACCAUUGCCUCAGUCUUCAAGUAGAACCUUGAAAUAUACUUUGGAACCACACCCCAUUCAGUUUCCCACUGUACAUGUCCAUGCCUUAUACACAUUUAUCUAACUGUAUGCUGGCGAAACUCACACAAUGCAUAAUUAUCUAACUAUAUGCCUGUCAAAAAAUACCAGAGGCUAAUUUAAAAUGAAUCAAACAUACAGGCCCAGCUGUGGUAUUGUCUCUCUCUUAAAGAUUGCCUCUGGAUGGAUACCUAUGGUCUGGCACUAUCAAGAUGGUAUCAGUCUGUGGCUCCAGGUGGACCAUAACUCAAGAUACACAUGGGAGUAAGACACAGACUCCCUGAAUCUGCACACCUCCUGCAUGCCUCCCAUGUUAUGCAUUAUGCUUCCCUUUCUUUAAAAACCUGCCCUCAGUCCAACCUUGUGAACUGGUUUAUACAGGUGUCAUCCAGCCAUUUCCCUACUGCUGGAUUUGAAAAAUA